AAGACUUUAUUUUGGGGCAUUUGAUGGUGUCAAUUUGUUUUUAUAAUGUUUAGAUUCUCAUAAAGGUUUAGAUAAUGACAUGGGAGGGAUAGUCUAGAGUUAAGGACAUGGGAGGGAUAGUCUAGUUUUAAUGACAUGGGAGGGAUAAUUUGUUACAAUAUGAACAAAAUAAAUAAAUGCCUAUAUAAGGAUUUGGGAUGUAAAUUCUUUUUUAAAGGAAGGAGGAGAUGAUGUAGAAUACUUACAAACUUACGAAGAAUCAGUGUUAUAAAUUCUUCACUCUAGUAAGUCCCGUAAUUCGUUUUACUUUUUGGUGAAUUUCAUGAUAAAAUACUUUUAGCCGUGUCAUGCAUUGGAUAAUGGAUUUCCCUAUUACAAAGCAUAUAUCUUCUCUCGUUCUAUGGUUUUUACAUUUAUGCUUAUUAAUUUUUUUCCUCUAUUGGUGAAAGUAAGCUAAAGUGAAGAUGUAGUUUGGAAAUUAUUAAUAUACAAAAGUUUUAAGUUCAAAAUGUGAAGUACUCAAGAGACGGUUAAUCUCAAUUUACUUUUCAGUAAAGUAGAAACUAGAAAGGGAAAAUUUACUUCCUUUUCAAAAUCAGAGCCUCCAGCUCCAUCUUUUCAAGCCUUGUGUGAAUGACUGAAUGUACUUGUUCGCUUCUUUUAAAUACUCUUGCUUUAGGUGAUAGGUACUUGAGACCAUGGAUUGUUCCUGUGCCUGAAACAACUUUCACAACUAGGAUUGAUGAGGACGAGUGUCAGAUACUGGCCAAUGACGGUCUUUGGGAUGGCUCAUUGCAUUUUAAGACGGCGACGCUGAUCUAUGACAGAUGAUGAGACUUCUGCAUCUCAAGCAGUUGCUCACAGCUUGACUAAAAUAUCUCUUGGGAUAAAUAGUACAGAUUCCUAUGGAAGGAAAGAUAUGUUCAGCUAAUGAAGCAUGCCAACAAUAUCCAUGUAAUAGAGACUUGAAAUACAAUGUGGAUAUGCAAGAU